rnacentral:misc_RNA from 1 species
GUGUUAUUAAGGCGAAAGGCGAUAUUAAGGCAAUAGGAUAACCAAUGGCCUUAGGCGAGAGGCGAGGUCCUUUUUUGAAAAAUAUAUAUAUCACACUUUUAACUUCAAAGGAAAAAAAAGAAAAAAACAAUUUGCUGCACACUACAAGUAAUAUAGAGAAAUAGAAAGCAAAAAAUAACAAGGUUAUAGAAAGGAAAUGAAAU